rnacentral:lncRNA from 1 species
GAUUUCCUAAGCACACAUUCAGUUAGUCUUUUAUUUUCUAAAGAUGCUUCUUGCAUAUAAAACGCUCAAGCCUCAGUGCUUUAUUAACAAAGGUCACAGCUUUCAGAAAUAGCAAAAAGCAACAUUCUGAUUAUUAACACAUGUACAGUUAUACAACACAAAACAAUUUCAGACAAAAGCAGAAGAGGUAGAGCAGAGAGUUGGCGCUAUCUGUGUGUGUGGACACUUAGCACAGAGACAGGUCACCAACACCCUGCGUGGAAAUGAGCUGUCCUAUCGUGGAAACAGGUUUAUAAAUAGUAAGGGGAGGGUAUCUCUUUUAAAAAGCUAUAUAUGUCUUCUAUCCCUUUCCAAAGGCUGCCAUAGCUCUUAGGUUUAUUCUAUAGUAUUUACAACAGUCCUGUGCUGCAUAGAGAGACUUCUUUCCAGAAUAAGUGCUUUCAAGUAGUUAUAGCAAUAUUCUUCCCAUCACUGAACUGUGAUAACAUCCCUUCUUGUUGAAGACAGCUAGCAAUAGCCAUCAUCCUGAAAGUGAGGCUAAAGAUUCUACGUCACUGUCUCAAAAUGUCUGCAACAGUGUAAAGUACUUGAAAAAAAUGUGUAUGUUUUGCCUAGAAACCACAUGCAUGCCUGAUGCACUCUGGGUGAUAAAAUUGUGAGCUGUCAUGUGGGUGCUGGGAUUAGAACCCACAUCCUCUGAAAGAGUAGCUAGUGCCGAUCAUCACUAAGCCAUCUCGUCAGCCCCUUGAAACUUUUAAAAUAUCACAUGAUUGUUAACAUUUUACAGAUAAGAUUUUUGGGGUCUUGGAAUUUUAAUUUCCUUUGGGUGGUUGUCAACAAGAAUACAAAAUUAGACCUCUAAGAUUAUAGAGGGUUGUUUUUGGUUUUUUGUUUCAUUUUGUUUUUUAAAACUACUUAAUUUCAAAGGAAUAGUUCUUGGAAGUUUUUAAUAGUGAGGAAGUUGUAAUUUCCAAUAGUUAACUCUCUUCCUGCUUUAUUAACACUGAGGACAAAUUUUAAUAUUAUAAAAAGUCCCAUGAACUUUUAUGGUGUUAUUACACUGAUGAUCUUUAUGGAAUGCCCAGAUGACUAAAGCACUUCAGUCAUGUAAAUAUACUGUCCCAAUGAUUUUUUAUAUAAAAAUUAUUUCAGAGAAAAUGAUUUACUUACUAUGAAUACUUAAUUUCACUCAAAGUCCUUAAGAGUGUCACUAGGUACAUCAACCAAACUCCAAAUGCCCAUACCCAGGACUUGACUAGCACAGGUCGAAUACACUGUUUUGGGUUUGAUUUUUUUUUUUGGGGGGGGGGAAGGGGGUUCGAGACAGGGUUUCUUCCAGGACAGCUUGAACUACAUAAUAAUAGACCCUGUCUCAAAAAAAAACAAAAACAAAAACUUUGAAAGUUGUAUGAGAACUGAAUGUAAAGUCAAUGUAAGGCUCAAUGGUCACAGGUGGAAACUCUC